AUUGAACGCUGGCGGCAGGCCUAACACAUGCAAGUCGAACGGUAACAGGAAACAGCUUGCUGUUUCGCUGACGAGUGGCGGGCGGGUGAGUAAUGUCUGGGAAACUGCCUGAUGGAGGGGGAUAACUACUGGAAACGGUAGCUAAUACCGCAUAACGUCGCAAGACCAAAGAGGGGGACCUUCGGGCCUCUUGCCAUCGGAUGUGCCCAGAUGGGAUUAGCUAGUAGGUGGGGUAACGGCUCACCUAGGCGACGAUCCCUAGCUGGUCUGAGAGGAUGACCAGCCACACUGGAACUGAGACACGGUCCAGGCUCCUACGGGAGGCAGCAGUGGGGAAUAUUGCACAAUGGGCGCAAGCCUGAUGCAGCCAUGCCGCGUGUAUGAAGAAGGCCUUCGGGUUGUAAAGUACUUUCAGCGGGGAGGAAGGGAGUAAAGUUAAUACCUUUGCUCAUUGACGUUACCCGCAGAAGAAGCACCGGCUAACUCCGUG
rnacentral:rRNA from 1 species